GAUGAACGCUAGCGGGAGGCCUAACACAUGCAAGCCGAGCGGUAGAGAUUCUUCGGAAUCUUGGGAGCGGCGUACGGUGCGGAACACGUGUGCAACCUACCUUUAUCUGGAGGAUAGCCUUUCGAAAGGAAGAUUAAUACUCCAUAAUAUAUUGAUUGGCAUCAAUUGAUAUUGAAAGCUCCGGCGGAUAGAGAUGGGCACGCGCAAGAUUAGUUAGUUGGUGAGGUAACGGCUCACCAAGACGAUGAUCUUUAGGGGCCUGAGAGGUGAUCCCCACACUGGUACUGAGACACGGACCAGACUCCUACGGGAGGCAGCAGUGAGGAAUAUUGGUCAAUGGGUGCAAGCCUGAACCAGCCAUCCCGCGUGAAGGACGACUGCCCUAUGGGUUGUAAACUUCUUUGUAUAGGGAUAACCUACCCUCGUGAGGGUAGCUGAAGGUACUAUACGAAUAAGCACCGGCUAAACUCCGUGCCAGCAGCCGCGGU
rnacentral:rRNA from 1 species